rnacentral:rRNA from 1 species
GACGAACGCUGGCGGCGUGCCUAAUACAUGCAAGUAGAACGCUGAAGGAGGAGCUUGCUCUUCUGGAUGAGUUGCGAACGGGUGAGUAACGCGUAGGUAACCUGCCUGGUAGCGGGGGAUAACUAUUGGAAACGAUAGCUAAUACCGCAUAAAAUUGAUUAUUGCAUGAUAGUCAAUUAAAAGGUGCAAUUGCAUCACUACCAGAUGGACCUGCGUUGUAUUAGCUAGUUGGUGAGGUAACGGCUCACCAAGGCAACGAUACAUAGCCGACCUGAGAGGGUGAUCGGCCACACUGGGACUGAGACACGGCCCAGACGCCUACGGGAGGCAGCAGUAGGGAAUCUUCAGCAAUGGACGGAAGUCUGACCGAGCAACGCCGCGUGAGUGAAGAAUGUUUUCGGAUCGUAAAGCUCUGUUGUAAGAGAAGAACGAGUGUGAGAGUGGAAAGUUCACACUGUGACGGUAUCUUACCAGAAAGGGACGGCUAACUACGUG